rnacentral:rRNA from 1 species
AUGACGCGGAACGUGAGCGACUCGCCGGUGAGGUCCUCAGAGGUCUGCCACACCUGGCCCCAGUUACGCUGCAACAACGUUCACUUGACGCGCUUGUUCCCCUUCACCUUGAGCGCCGCCACAUCCCCCGCCCCGCCCACGUUCGUGACCGCCACCAUGUUGAAGUAUUUGUUCCCCGUGAUCGUGUACCGGAUCCCGCCCAGCCUCAUGCAAGGCACACUGCAUCGCACGCACAUACACAUGGGCACAAUGCCGGCCUUCUCCUCCGCGAUCUGCAGGAAGGCUGGCAUGGUGAGGUCAAGGUGCUCGCGCGGCGGGUUGCACCACCCGCCGUCAUCGCCGGGCAACUGGUAG